rnacentral:lncRNA from 1 species
UGCAGAUGCCUUGCCUGAGAUAACUCUUUAAGCAUCGUUUGGGUGUCAUAUUAAGAAGAUGUUUGAAGUUUGUUAAGCAAUUGACUGAUGGAUCAGAAGGCAUCACUUCAUUCUUGAUUGGACUAGUUUGUUAACUACCUAAUAAUGUAUCUGUUUGAAUGUAAGUAUUCAACCAUUCUCUUUUGCAAUAUAGGAAUCUCACAUUCUGAAAGAGUAAAUACAAGGUCAGUGACAGUGUCCUUGGUUCCUGAGAGAAGAUUUUAGGUUUUCUCUUUUUAAUAGACUUUUGCUAAGAGUGGUAAAGGCACUGUAAAAAGAAAAGUUAACAAAACUUGCUUUUUCAUUAGCAAACUUAAAAAAAAUACUUCAACAUGAAUGUUCAUCUUCUUCUUCUUUUUUUUUUUUUUUUUUUUUUUAGUAUUUAUGAAGUAUUCCUUUGCUAGAAUUGGGGCUGGUGAUGCACAAGAAUAAUCUCAGAGCUGAUUGCAGCGUGAGAGGACAAGCAAUGCUUUUAACACAAAGUAAGAUAAGGAACAAUUUCUCAUUCAAAGAUAAUAAAAUACAAUGGAAGGAAGAAUUCAGACUGAUCUUUAAUUUGACCUACAUUACACAGUUAUCACAUCAGAGAAGAAUCACAGACAAUCCCAAAGUCUCUGGAAGGCCUCAUCUUAAGUAAAUGCUAUCUCAGGUUUUGCACUCUGAUAUCCCUUACUUUUAUUUUUCCCUCAUGUACAAACUCACAUCAGGACUACUUUGCUAUGCAAUUAACAUGGUAACUACCUUACCUAGCUGGCAUUGCCCCUUUCCAUUUUGGGGUUUGAAAGCAUUUGCCACUUACACUCAGAUCAUGUUUUUGUGAGAGGCCACAGAGCGACUUUCUUUAAAGCUAUCAAAGCCUUCCUCAUUAUCCUUUAUGGGCUGUGCAGAAAACAUCUCAACUAUUAGACAUUUAACUGGAGUGCAGUAGAAUGGGUUUGCUGGCCCCCUCCAGUUGCUUGGGUAAAAGCUCUGUUCAUAAUCAGUUUCUGGUUUUUUAAAAUGACCCUCAAGAGGUUCCUUCCGGUCCACUUCAGUUCCCUUUUUAGUGUCCCAUUGAUUUUCCAGACUUUAGGAAUGCGUCCUUAACUGCCUGCUUUCCCAUUGGCUGUCUCCACUGAAUGAGAAGGGAACACUUUGUUACUUCAUACAUGGAGACAGGAAUAUCUUGAGGACUAACACACCAUUUGUAACAGCACAGUUUACAAC